ACGGAGGAUGCAAGAGUUAUCCGGAUUCAUUGGGUUUAAAGGGUGCGCAGGCGGAAUGAUAAGUCAGUGGUGAAAUCCUACGGCUCAACUGUAGAACUGCCAUUGAUACUGUCGUUCUUGAGUACACUUGAAGUGGGCGGAAUGUGUCAUGUAGCGGUGAAAUACUUAGAUAUGACGCAGAACACCGAUCGCGAAGGCAGCUAACUGAAUUGUAACUGACGCUCAUGCACGUAAGCGUGGGGAUCGAACAG
rnacentral:rRNA from 1 species